UGGUUGAUUGUUUGCCAAUUCAAAGGUGAUCCUCCAAACUUGGUUAUGUAAGAGACCCUUUUAAUGAAGAAAUCCUCCCACUAGACAUAAGCAGUGUUCCUCGCUGAGGUUCAAUGCCCAUGACAACAUUUGAUCUUCCAAUGUCCCUGGGAUACAUCAUUUUUUGUGCAUGUCACAAUGCAUUGAAAGACUGACACAUUGUUAUAAAGACCCAUAUUAAUUUCAGAUUGAGAGGGCUGCUUCACUAAAACACUGUGAGUCUUAAGCAAUUAUAUUUUCAGUUCAUAAGACAAAGCAUGCCUCCAGUGUAUGGCUUUCAACUUGGUUGAGUGAUACUAAACAGAAACAUGAACGCAAAGUUUCUGGUGGGUUUGCAGGUCUGUGCUCCACUCAUGCAUUUUAUAAGUUUACUAUAUUCAUGAAAUGAACGAUUAAGAAGAUAGCAGCCCAGAGCACGAGUAACAUGUUGUGUUCUGGUGCUUGAUAGGGUCAUACUCUGCAGUGAAUGGAUACCUGGGCUGGCCGAG
ensembl:lncRNA